CGGCCACGCCUUACCGAAAGGAGUCCUGACUCAGAGCUGCUGUGCCGUCCCUUCUCCUGUCCCUGCCUGGAAGAGGCCUAUCAGGUUGACCAAGCUUUGCUCCCACCUGUGGAUGAGAAGGGCAGGUGGCCGAGAGUGGGUGUGGAGGAGGAAGACUGGAUGCCAAUGAUCCUGAUCUCACUCUGUCACCAAGGCUGGAGUGCAGCAGCAGAAUUUCAGCUCACUGCAACCUCGACUUGCUGGGUUCAAGGGAUCUCCCAAGUAGCUGGGACUACAGGUGCACACCAUCAUGCCUGGCUAAUUUUUUGUAGGGAUGGGGUUUUACCAUGCUGCCCAGGCUGGUCUUGAACUUCUGAGUUCAAGCGAUCCUCCCUCCUGAGCCUCCUAAAGUGCUGGGAUUACAGGUUUAAAAAAUAUCCUGGACUUUGGAAAAUAUUCUUAUAUAAAGAAGCAAAAAGAGGAUGGAAUAGACUUGUGCUAACACUGAAACUCCAGUCAAGUUGUAAACUGAAAAAGAACGUGUUGAAACAAGGAAUUGCCCCAUAGCCUUCACAGGUAAUGCUGAUGCUUCAAGUCUUGGAACCACACUUCGAGAAUCACUGUUAUAAUGUACAGCAGAACUGCAUGAUCAGCUGUAUGGUAGCCUUGAAAACCAACAGGCCACAAUCACAGUGAAAACCUCAGGUUGGCAGCCACUGGAGG
rnacentral:lncRNA from 10 species